AAACUGUUAAUGAAACUCAUGAAAAGAUGAAGGUAAAAGGACUGUGCGAGAAAGCGAAGGAUAUUCUAGUGCAAGAGAGUAAUGUGCAGCUCUAAAUCCUGAUAAAUUGAUUGAAUUUAUGCUGCUAGAUCAAGCACCAGUUAGCCACAAUACUCAUCUAUUCAGACAUGUUUAAGUGAGGGAACGGGCUACUAUUUUCCACCAUGCCACAUAGUUAAUAUAAGUGGUUUCCGGGUGUUACUGCCCUUUGGACCUUUCAUCCCUAGCUGUAUCCACUUGUUAUUUCUUCCCUGCUUGAUGAGAAAGCUUCAAUUCAAUGAGGCCAAAGUCCAUCAAAUUCAGAGUCUGUAGGACAUGAUGUUUCGGAGCUUCUUGAUUCCAAAAGUUUGAUACUGGCUGAGCCUUGGUUUAAAACUGUGAAAAGCUUGCCGAAUAUUUAUUCCAUAGAUCUAGUACUAAUCUCAAGUCCGGUGGGUAUGCUAGGGUGACCAUUUCUUACCAGCCUCAAAGACUUCAGAGCAAAGCUUCCAGGCUUGGGAAACUGAUGAUGGAUGUCCUUAUUUCCAUGCAUAUGGAAUUGAGAAAAUCCUAUGGACCUGAAGAGUCUGGUUUCCCUCAAUGGAUCAGAUGGGAAAACUUGAACUACUUCCUAGGGCACUAAAGGAUAUUGUUUUAGGCAGUGAAAGUAUAGAGCUUGGUGGAUGGCUGUUAUACAGGUUGGGGGAAUCGAAAAAGUUUAUGAAAUUGGCCGUAUAUUCCGCAAUGAAGUGCUUCAACUCGUCAUAAUCCUGAAUUCACCUCCAUUGAGAUGUAUGAAGCAUACUCUGACUAUGAAAGCAUGAUGAAUAUGGCAGAAGAUAUUGUGACACGAUGUGCCCUUGGCCCCUUGCAGUUAAUGGGAAACUUAGAAUUGAUUACCAGGGUGUGGAGAUCUGCUUGGAAAGACCUUGGAGGAGGGAAACAAUGCAUAAUCUUGUGAAAGAAGCUGGAAUUGAUUUUAAAAACUUCGGUGACGAUCUUAAUGCUGCUAAAGAACAUGAUAUAAAGCAAUUGAUAUUCUUGGUGAUGAUCUGGAUAAGAGUUCAAUUGAAGCAUGCUCUUCUGUUGGCCAUUUGCAUAAUGAGGUUUUUGAGAUGGUAGUAGAACCAAAGCUUCUACAACCGACUAUUGUCUUGGAAUAACUCCACUGGCCAAACCACAUAGAAGGUGCACCAGUUAGCCACAAUAGUCAUCUAUUCAGGUAAAAGGACUGUGCGAGAAAGCGAAGGAUAUUCUAGUGCAAGAGAGUAAUGUGCAGCUCUAAAUCCUGAUAAAUUGAUUGAAUUUAUGCUGCUAGAUCGAACACCAGUUAACCACAAUACUCAUCUAUUCAGGUUCAGGUCCUCAGCAUUCAGAUCACGCGGAGAUCGGUUCUCGGUCCGUAUUCAGCAAUAUCAGUGGUUCAGGUCCUCAGCAUUCAGAUCACGCGGAGAUCGGAUCCCGAUCCGUAUUCAGCAAUAUCAGUGGUUCAGGUCCUCAACAUUCAGAUCACGCGGAGAUCAGUUUCCGAUCCGUAUUAAGCAAUAUCAGCGGAUGUGUAUUCAACUAGUUGAUAUCCCCAAUAGAAGCACAUGAUACUCAGCGGUUGUUGGUGAGCUCCAGGUUGAUUCGGGGAUUUUCCGAGUCUUUACUAUGCGCAUUUUCAUAGUGGUACAGUCACGGAUAGUAGAGGCUUUGUAGACAUUGUAAAGCUAUCAUCUGUAUUCAUAGUU